UACAGAGGUCUCAAGCCGUUGUUCGGAUUCAUUGGGCGUAAAGGGUGCGUAGGUGGCGCUGUAAGUCGGGUGUGAAAUUUCGGAGCUUAACUCCGAAACUGCAUUCGAUACUGCGGUGCUUGAGGACUGGAGAGGAGACUGGAAUUCAUGGUGUAGCAGUGAAAUGCGUAGAGACUCAUGAGGAAGACCAGUGGCGAAGGCGGGUCUCUGGACAGUUCCUGACACUGAGGCACGAAGGCCAGGGGAGCAAACGGG
rnacentral:rRNA from 1 species